rnacentral:rRNA from 1 species
GACGAACGCUGGCGGCGUGCUUAACACAUGCAAGUCGAACGAAGUGGCGAACGGGUGAGUAAUGCGUAAGCAACUUGCCCUUCGGGGGGGAACAACAGUGGGAAAGGACGGCUAAUACCGCAUACUGAAGGAGGGGAUGGCGUUUGAUUAGCUAGUUUGGGGGGUAACGCCCCACCAAGGCGAGGAUCAGUAGCCGGUCUGGGAGGGUGAACGACCACAUUGGGACUGAGACCCGGCCCAGAAUCCCACCGGAGGCAGCAGUGGGGGAUCUUUCGACAUGGGGGGAAACCUGACCGAGCCACGCCGCGUGAGUUGAGAAGGUUUUCCGGUCGUAAAGGUCUUUUGUUAAGGGAGCGGUACUUGCCCAGAAAGGGACGGCUAACUACGUGCCAGCCGCCGCGGUAAUUC